CACGUAGGCACCAAGCGUUGUCCGGAUUUAUUGGGCGUAAAGAGCUCGUAGGCGGGUGAGUAAGUCGGGUGUGAAAACUCUGGGCUUAACCCAGAGCCGCCACCCGAUACUGCUCUGACUUGAGUUCGGUAGGGGAGCAGGGAAUUCCUAGUGUAGCGGUGAAAUGCGCAGAUAUUAGGAGGAACACCGGUGGCGAAGGCGCUGCUCUGGGCCGAUACUGACGCUGAGGAGCGAAAGCGUGGGUAGCAAACAGG
rnacentral:rRNA from 1 species